GCUGCUAUUUCCGUGUGCACUCGGCAGGGCUGAGGACUUGAAAUGCUAAUAGUACUGCAUCGUUUCUCGGUGUCUGCAAACAAACAAACAAACAAAUAAAUGGCGUCUGCUCCAUGAUGACUUUAGCUUCUCAAAAUUUUCAUUGGUUUUUGCAGCUCCUGGAUGGACAGAGAUAAUCCUGACCAUGCAAAGGACCCAGCCGUGGAAACACCACCACCGUCAGACACAGUGGAGGCUACCGGGUCCGUAACUGCAGGAGCAGGGAAGAGACACAGGAUGGGAAGAAGUGCUCUGACUAUGGGGAGAUCUCAGAGAAAUGCAGCGCACACAAGGACCAGCUGAGCCAGCAGCCCUCCUUCAGUGGUGAAAAACCUCCUCCGUGAAAACUCCAUUCUUUUCCACGAAGGCUGUACAUAAGGAAGAUGGGAAGUGAACCCGAGACCUCACCAACCCUGGGAACCUCCUGGUAGGAUGAAGACCUCAGUUUGCAACUUUCAAACCCAGAAAAGCCAAGGGCUGUGGUAAGUGGUCAUGUCGUGCUCCAUGGAGGGUCCUAAGGGGACAACAUCCUCAUCGCCACCGCUGUUACAACAGCCAGGGCUGGGGGGGAUCAGUGUCACAUGAAGAGGAAGCAACUGAGCAACCACCCCACUCCUCCCAGCUCUGAUGAAUAAAGAUUUACACCCUAAAAAUGCUUCGG